GGGGUUGGGAAGAAGGAAGGCUACUAUGGUAACCCCGAAGGCGCAAGGUCUAGCCUCACUGGCCAGGCAGGCUGCCCACAAUGGCCGGCCUACUGCUGUACUGCUCGUACCCUCCCCCAGUGCUGUCCCGGCACCACCUACCCGCUAGGGCACCCUGUAGCUCUGUAAUCUAAAUAUCCUGCAAGCCCCUGCUUCCACCCUUGCUCCAAAACCAGGUGCUAAAAAAAAGCUUAGACUUUUUGGACGUCAUCUUCAAAGGAACCCCAACUUGCAACCUCCUUUUAAACCCAGUUCAGGGAUUGAGAAGGAAAGAAGGGUUCUGAGACUCAGUAAACUCUACCCUGAUGGCCUGAGAGUUUUUCUAACUUUCUUCCGAGAAGUCUGUCACGUGGGUGCUGGUCAGCAGGGGGUACUAUUGUACCUCCUUUUGCCCUAGUGAAAAAGCAGACCUCAUCUUACACAAACCAAAGCGGGUGAUGAGAACACCAUGCAUUCCUGAGCCUGUUAGAUUUGAACAGACAGACAAUCUUCUCUUGAUCCAGAGAAACAGGCAUCCUCCUUAAAGUCACCCUUGGAUGUCCAGAAGAGAAGAGUGGCCUGUCUUACUGGCAGGCUCCAGUCUGGGCUCCAAAGAAGAUUUACGGUCUCCUCUCCCUGGCUAGCUGAAACUAAGACUUCAGGAGAUCAAAGGGGAAGACUAACAAAUGGAUGUAUAAGCCCCAAGGUUGCUUUCCCAUCACUCUAUCAUGUUCUCUUGGAUCUGGCCUUAGCUGUGACAAAAGCCAGCUUAGAGGCAAAACCAUUGGAGGAGAAGCCUACCCAAUUUUUUCUCCAGGGGUGAAGCCCCACGUUCAGCAAAUAUUUGCUAAGAGCAAACCAAGAACUCUGCCAGGCACCUUGGAUGCAAAGCUGGUGACAUGACAGCACCUGAAGACCCCAGGGGGAGAGGUUGUGAGAGGCAGGUGCUGGGCACUAAAGCAGUUCUGAGUCUCACCAAGAUGAAGGCUAGACUGAACUUUGAAACUUCGUAAUGUUCCAUCCUCAGCUGAAUGCAAAGAAUCUCUUAACAAGAGUAUAGGCAUUUGAAGAGUUAAUGCUCUGGUGUAAUAGUGAAAACCUUAGAGGAAUGUAAGAUGGUAAAUGGUGGCAGAGACUAAAAGUUUGGGAAUCCCAGUGGGCAUGGGCACAGAGAAAGUGGAUGAAACUUAAGGUCACCCUUGCUGGAACUCACCGUCAGUAGUUGCUUGUUUGCCAGUGCCAACUCCUGUACCAUGAUAUCCCUCAUUCUUAGGGUGGCAUAAGGGUUUCUCCUCUGGCUCAGUGUCAUCUGCCACAGACAGUGAGUGUGUGAAUUUCGCCACCUGCCCCAGGUAUAGUGGUGGGGUUAAAUGGAUUAGUUAGGAGUGGAGACAAAAACCCAGUGAGGCUGCUGCUUCACCAAAACCUCUGUAAGGGUCAAAAGAGUACAAACUCCUUGAAAGGGUAACGAACUUAGAACCUAGUAUAAAGUACAUUAUGUCAUUUAAUCAUCAUAACCACCAUGUGUCAUAGAUACUAAUUUUUGUUUUAUACAGUCAAGGAAACUAAAAGUUCAUGUGAAUUGCUCAAGGUCACUUCACGGCAUACCUGGGUAUCAAAUCCACCCUAAGCAUGAAUUCCUUCCAUCAUACUGGUGAUUUUCAACCUUGGCUAGACACAUUUUGGAAUGAUUUGUUAAGGUUUUUAAUACAUAAGAGGAAUAUACAUAUGUAUCAUAUAGUAUGUAUCCUUUGUUCACAUAACCCCAUUGAGUUUAAAAAAAAAAGUAUUUACAGAUAAAAAAAAAUUAAACCCAUACAGAAAUAUAGUAAAUAAAAAGCGAAAGCCUCAUUCUUCUGCCUUAAUCCUCGCCAAGAAAGUUUUCAUGUGUAUCUCUAGAAAAUUUUUGUCAUAUAUCAGCACCUGUAUCUUUUUUUUUACAUAAAAAUCAUUAUAUAAGCAGUAUUACCUAACAAUUUGGACUUUUCAUAUCAGCACAUAGAGAUUUGCUUCAUUCUGUUUAAAGGCUGCCUAAUAUUUUUGUAUAACUAGCUGGGUGAUUUUUAG